CCUANGGGUGGCAGCAGUCGAGAAUUUUUCUCAAUGGGCGAAAGCCUGAAGGAGCGACGCCGCGUGGGGGAUGAAUGGCUUCGGCCCGUAAACCCCUGUCAUUUGCGAACAAACCUCGUGAUUUAACAGAUGACGAGCUGAUUGUAGCGAAAGAGGAAGGGACGGCUAACUCUGUGCCAGCAGCCGCGGUAAUACAGAGGUCCCAAGCGUUGUUCGGAUUCACUGGGCGUAAAGGGUGCGUAGGUGGUUGGGUAAGUCUGAUGUGAAAUCUCCGGGCCUAACCCGGAAACUGCAUCGGAUACUAUUCGACGGGAGGGUUGGAGGGGGGACUGGAAUACUUGGUGUAGCAGUGAAAUGCGUAGAUAUCAAGUGGAACACCAGUGGCGAAGGCGAGUCCCUGGACAACUCCUGACACUGAGGCACGAAAGCUAGGGGAGCAAACAGGAUUAGAUACCCGANUANUC
rnacentral:rRNA from 1 species